rnacentral:rRNA from 1 species
UAGGGAAUCUUCGGCAAUGGACGGAAGUCUGACCGAGCAACGCCGCGUGAGUGAAGAAGGUUUUCGGAUCGUAAAGCUCUGUUGUUAGAGAAGAACGUUGGUAGGAGUGGAAAAUCUACCAAGUGACGGUAACUAACCAGAAAGGGACGGCUAACUACGUGCCAGCAGCCGCGGUAAUACGUAGGUCCCGAGCGUUGUCCGGAUUUAUUGGGCGUAAAGCGAGCGCAGGCGGUUCUUUAAGUCUGAAGUUAAAGGCAGUGGCUUAACCAUUGUACGCUUUGGAAACUGGAGGACUUGAGUGCAGAAGGGGGGAGUGGAAUUCCAUGUGUAGCGGUGAAAUGCGUAGAUAUAUGGAGGAACACCGGUGGCGAAAGCGGCUCUCUGGUCUGUAACUGACGCUGAGGCUCGAAAGCGUGGGGAGCAAACAGG